AUGACCCUGAAAGACAGGCUCAGCAAGAAUCAUCACCCCCAUGUGCAGAUAAGAACCCUGGAGCCUGAGCACAGGGUGGCUCUGCCCGAGUUUGCACGGCAGCCCUGACCUGGCCAUUGGGAGGGUCUGCCAAACCCACUGCCUUCUGUGAGGACCGUCACCCACACAACGGGGGAGUCUCGAUGCCAUGUUUCUGAUACACGCCUCUCUCCUGGGGAUCAGGACGGGAGCCAGAAGAGGGAGGAACAGUGAAAGAGAUGAGAGAAAAGAAAAUGAACGUAGAGAAAACCAGGAGGCAGGAAGGCACUGCUUUAGAAGUCUGAUUUAACGACAAUGUUCCGGAGCAAGUCGGGGAGCACCCAGUCCAACCUCCCAAACAUCGAAGCCUUCCUCUGCAUCUCUGGCCAACGUCCAGACGGCACUGCCAAAGGGAGGAGGUGACAUCUGGAGGCUGAGUUAUGAGAGGUGUUAGGUCUGGGAAUGGGGGAAAAAUGACUUUUCAUUUUAAAAUAAUUUCAGACUUGGGAAAAAAAAAUGAAGGUAAGACAAAAAUACAAAUGUCUUUACCCAGAAUAUCUAGAUGCAUAUUUUCUAAAGAUAAGGCCAUUUCUUUAUAUAACAGAGUAGAAAGAUCAAAAUCAGAAAAUUAGUAUUGAUGCAAUGCUAUUAAUCUGAUCUAUGAGUUUAUCCAAAUUGUA